rnacentral:rRNA from 1 species
AUUGAACGCUGGCGGCAGGCCUAACACAUGCAAGUCGAGCGGAGCGGCGGACGGGUGAGUAAUGCCUAGGCAUCUGCCUGGUAGUGGGGGAUAACGUCCGGAAAAGGGCGCUAAUACCGCAUACUAUCAGAUGAGUCUAGGUCGGAUUAGCUAGUUGGUGGGGUAAAGACCUACAAGGGCGACGAUCCGUAACUGGCCUGAGAGGAUGAUCAGUCACACUGGAACGGAGACACGGUCCAGACUCCUACUGGAGGCAGCAGUGGUUAAUAUUGGACAAUGGGCGAAGGCCUGAUCCAGCCAUGCCGCGUGUGUGAAGAAGGUCUUGGGAUUGAAAAGCACUUUAAGUUGGGAGGCGUUACCAACAGAAUAGGCACCGGCUAACAUCGUGCCAGCCGCCGCGGUAAUA